rnacentral:rRNA from 1 species
GACGAACGCUGGCGGCGUGCUUAACACAUGCAAGUCGAACGGAAAGGCCUGCUUUCCCUUGUGGAUUGCGGGUACUCGAGUGGCGAACGGGUGAGUAACACGUGAGUGAUCUGCCCCCAACUUGGGUAUAAGCCUGGGAAACUGGGUCUAAUUCCCGAUAGGACUGCAGGGUGGUGCCUGUGGUGGAAAACGAUUUUCUAGUGGUUGGGGAUGAGCUCGCGGCCUAUCAGCUUGUUGGUGGGGUAAUGGCCUACCAAGGCGGCGACGGGUAGCCGGCCUGAGGGGGUGGACGGCCACAUUGGGACUGAGAUACGGCCCAGACUCCUACGGGAGGCAGCCGUGGGGAAUAUUGCACGAUGGGCGGAAGCCUGAUGCAGCGACGCCGCGUGGGGGAUGACGGCCUUCGGGUUGUAAACUCCUUUCGACCGCGAGGAAGCCACCUGGUUGGAAGGGUGGUGACGGUAGUGGUAGAAGAAGCACCGGCUAACUACGUG